rnacentral:lncRNA from 13 species
AUGAAUACUGUAAUGGAGGAUUAGAGUGCUUACAUGUUUAUGGGAGGAUUUAAGAUGGAUACCUCAUCUAGGUUCAGCUGCUGUGUUGCGUUUUGAUAUUUGAACGAAAAUGAUGCUUUGGAGGCUUAAAAAAUGGACUUUCCUUCUGAAGUACCCAGGAGAGUAGGUACAGAAGCUAUCAAGAUACAUAAUUCCAGUUUUAAGGAGCUGUCAUGUUCAUAGCAGCACUACUAACAGUGGACAAAAAGGUGAAUAUGACCCAAAUUCCAUCAGCAGAUGAAUGAAUAAACAAAAGUCUGGCAUAUCCAUACAAUGGGACUUUAUUCAGCCAUAGAAAGGAAUAAGGUGGAUACAUAUGCUACAGCAUGGAUGAACCUCGAAAAUGUUAAGUGAAGGAAGCCAGACACAAAAGGAUGGACUUCUUAUCUCCCUACACUACCCCUUGGAGAAAACCUUUUAUCAAGGAGAUACUGAAUAUCAUCACUGAUGUAAGCAGGGUCUCUUAAGAUCCCAGUGACUGCUGGUCUGGUCUGAAGGGUCCAAGAUGGCUUUGUUCACAUGUCUGUUGCCCUAACAGAGAUGACUAGAAGGCCGAGCUC